rnacentral:pre_miRNA from 1 species
ACAGAGUCACAAUUCGUAUGGUAAGUUACACAAUUUAUGUAACUCGCCAUAUGAUUUGUAACUCUGC